CCUGUCUUCAGGCUCUCAUUUUAACAUGUGCAAAAUGGGGUGGUGGUAGGAUCUACUUCCCAAGUGUGGAGUGAAGACCGAUUAUCUGUUAUGCCAGUUGUGCAUGCACACAGAUGUGUAUGUACACACACAUACGUGUGCACUCGUGCAAAGUCAAGCAUCCAAGUCUCUCCUAAUGAUAUAGAGGUGUGCAUACAAACUCUGCCAUCGACAAUGUCCUCCUCAGAUCCCUCUCCCACAGACUCUCAGAGGCAUACAUUAAUGCACCCAUAAAACACAUCAUAGCCCCAAAGCAAGCCUAUUCUGCUCUUAGAACUUCAGUCAUCAGUAUUGGCCAGGAGUACAGCACUGAGCACUUCAAAGAAGCCAUCCUUGUAAGCUGGUGACAUGUGUAGGACCUCAGUGGACCCCAGAGAUCCUAUUGCAUAAAUUGACCCUUUCCUGGGGCUUCUGGGAGCUAAGCAUAGAUAGAGGUAAGUCUUACCCCCUCUUGGAGAGAGAAAGGAGAAAAACCCAUUCCUUCUCUUGGCUACAUGUGGUGCUGUCUAAGUAGUUUCAAACCAUAAUGUACGGGACCCAGAGAAGUCCCUAGCCAUUGGGUCCAAGUCCCUAGUUUACUUAUAGAGAAACUGAGGUGCAGGGAUGUAUGGGACAUGCUCUUGUCACACAGCAAAUCAAUGGCUCACUUGUCUGUAAUGCCAGGCAGGGAAGAAGUCAGAUUUUGCAAGAAGCUCCUUAAACAGGAAGGUCAACAAGUCAAAGUACAUUUAGGAAGUCCCUAAAACUGAGCAGAUUCACUAGGCCUCUUCUGCCAGAGAAAGCAAUAAUAGCCGAGAGUCCCCUUUAGAUAGAAGGAAACUGAGCUGCAAAGAAGGUUCUGAGACCAGACUAGUUGUCUGGAAGAAGCAGAACUAAGUUGUCUGGAAGAGGCUAAGAACAACAGAGGUACCUGGAAAGGACACUUUAACCUGCCUGCAGUUGUACACUGUGCCCCAAGGUUCCCAGCUUUAUGAGCUGUGAUGGAUACUGGUGUGUGCUUUGGUGAUGCAGCUGUCUCUGAGUUAUUUCUGCUCCUGUAAGUAACUCUUCACCCAUAUUUCUGUAACUAACCCCAAUAAAACUCACUGGCUCACCAGGUUG
rnacentral:lncRNA from 1 species